UACGUAGGGACCAAGCGUUGUUCGGAUUUACUGGGCGUAAAGGGCGCGUAGGCGGGCGGCCAAGUCAGGGGUGAAAGCCCCCAGCUCAACUGGGGAAGUGCCUCUGAUACUGGUCGCCUCGAGGGAGAUAGGGGCGUGCGGAACUUCCGGUGGAGCGGUGAAAUGCGUAGAUAUCGGAAGGAACACCGGUGGCGAAAGCGGCGCGCUGGAUCUCUUCUGACGCUGAGGCGCGAAAGCCAGGGGAGCGAACGGG
rnacentral:rRNA from 1 species